UUGGUCUGAGGUGCGAAGCCAAGCUCGGUGAUUGGUUCUCAGAGUAAUGGGCGGGAAGAGACUGGGGAGAGGAACAGGAAUUCCGUCACCACCAGAGAGCUGACCGGCUCGUGGGACUGUGGCGGAGGAGCCUCUCAGCUUUCCCCUGACAUGGCGGAGAAGGGUCGGUCAGUCCAGCUUCUGUGAACAUCUUGGAGGAAAGGCCUGUCUUAUACAUCUUUUUGACUACACAGUCCUACCACACUAUGAAAUUUAAUAAAUACCAGGUGUAUACCUUGACUGCCUAGGAGUAUGAAGUACCUAGUACUGUGCCUGGAAUAUAACUAUUACUUAAUAAAUGAAUGUACAAAGGAGGGAUCCCUGGGUGGCGCAGCU